AACGGGUGAGUAAUUAUUAUCGGAACGUACCCAAGAGUGGGUGGAUAACGUAGCGAUAAGUUACGCUAAUACCGCUAUACCUGUAUCCCAAGGAUGAAAGCAGGGGUACCGCAAGUGCCUUGUGCUCCUGGAGCGCCGAUAUCUGAUUAGCUAGUUGGUGAGGUAAAGGCUCACCAAGGCAACGAUCAGUAGCUGGUCUGAGAGGACGACCAGCCACACUGGAACUGAGACACGGUCCUAGACUCCUACGGGAGGCUAGCUAGUGGGGAAUUUUGGACAAUGGGCGCAAGCCUGAUCCAGCAAUGCCGCGUGAGUGAAGAAGGCCUUCGGGUUGUAAAGCUCUUUUGUCAGGGAAGAAACGGUAGGAGCUAAUAUCUUUUACUAAUGACGGUACCUGAAGAAUAAGCACCGGCUAACUACGUGCCAGCCGCCGC
rnacentral:rRNA from 1 species